rnacentral:rRNA from 1 species
CCUACGGGUGACUGCAGUGAGGAAUAUUGGUCAAUGGGCGGGAGCCUGAACCAGCCAAGUAGCGUGAAGGAUGACUGCCCUACGGGUCGUAAACUUCUUUUAUAAAGGAAUAAAGUGCAGUACGUGUCCUGUUUUGUAUGUACUUUAUGAAUAAGGAUCGGCUAACUCCGUGCCAGCAGCCGCGGUAAUACGGAGGAUCCGAGCGUUAUCCGGAUUUAUUGGGUUUAAAGGGAGCGUAGGUGGAAUGUUAAGUCAGUUGUGAAAGUUUGCGGCUCAACCGUAGAAUUGCAGUUGAUACUGUCAGUCUUGAGUACAGUAGAGGUGGGCGGAAUGCGUGGUGUAGCGGUGAAAUGCUUAGAUAUCACGAAGAACUCCGAUUGCGAAGGCAGCUUACUGGACUGCAACUGACACUGAUGCUCGAAAGUGUGGGUAUCAAACAGGAUUAGAUACCCUAGUAGUC